rnacentral:rRNA from 1 species
GACGAACGCUGGCGGCGUGCUUAACACAUGCAAGUCGAACGGAAAGGCCCUGCUUUUGUGGGGUGCUCGAGUGGCGAACGGGUGAGUAACACGUGAGUAACCUGCCCUUGACUUUGGGAUAACUUCAGGAAACUGGGGCUAAUACCGGAUAGGAGCUCCUGCUGCAUGGUGGGGUUUGGAAAGUUUCGGCGGUUGGGGAUGGACUCGCGGCUUAUCAGCUGGUUGGUGGGGUAGUGGCUUACCAAGGCUUUGACGGGUAGCCGGCCUGAGAGGGUGACCGGCCACAUUGGGACUGAGAUACGGCCCAGACUCCUACGGGAGGCAGCAGUGGGGAAUAUGGCACAAUGGGCGGAAGCCUGAUGCAGCAACGCCGCGUGCGGGAUGACGGCCUUCGGGUUGGAAACCGCUUUCGCCUGUGACGAAGCGUGAGUGACGGUAAUGGGUAAAGAAGCACCGGCUAACUACGUG